rnacentral:rRNA from 1 species
AUUGAACGCUGGCGGCAUGCCUUACACAUGCAAGUCGAACGGUAACGGGCCUUCGGGUGCCGACGAGUGGCGAACGGGUGAGUAAUACAUCGGAAAGUGCCCGAUCGUGGGGGAUAACGAGGUGAAAGCUUUGCUAAUACCGCAUACGAUCUACGGAUGAAAGCAGGGGACCGCAAGGCCUUGCGCGGACGGAGCGGGCGAUGGCAGAUUAGGGAGUUGGUGGGAUAAAAGCUUACCAAGCCGACGAUCUGUAGCUGGUCUGAGAGGAUGAUCAGCCACACUGGGACUGAGACACGGCCCACACUCCUACGGGAGGCAGCAGUGGGGAAUUUUGGACAAUGGGCGCAAGCCUGAUCCAGCCAUGCCGCGUGCAGGGUGAAGGCCUUCGGGUUGUAAACUGCUUUUGUACGGAACGAAAAGCCUUCUUUUAAUACAGGAGGGUCAUGACGGUACCGUAAGAAUAAGCACCGGCUAACUACGUG